GGGGGGCUGCGGGAUCUCUGCCCCCACCCCUCCCGCCUCGGUCCCGGGAGUCUCUAGACCCCACCGUCCAGACGCCCCCCUUAGGCUCCCGCACCGAGCCCCAGUCCAGGAGCGGCGCUCAGUGGCCCCCAAUAGAGCCCAGCCCCUUCCAGCGCUCAAACUCUUUUGUUUUAAAUGAACUGGAUGGAGCAGCAUGGAACUGACGGGAGGGGGGCGCGCCGGGGGCGCCCGGGGCAUGCCGGGAGUUGUAGUUCCCGCCCUCGGGGGCGCGGGGACGAAUUCCUUGACCCGAGGAAGACAGGGAUGUGCCUUCGGUCUUUACGCUCUGCUGGGAGGCGAAGCCGGGGGUGGGAAGGCAGUCGAGGUCCCUCAUUUUUAAAGAGGAAAGGAGUCAGUGUACAGAAACGGAACGGGUUGAAAACAGGCUAAUGGAGUGUGCCCCCCUCCCAAAACGGGCUCCUUCGCGAUCCCGGCCAGUCUUAGGUCCCUCUUUCUUAUGCGGCAAGCCAUCCCCCUUCCUCCCUUCCCUCCCCCCAGUCUCGGAGAUCAGAGAAGCACCGACUGGGAGGGUGGACCCAUGGGGCCUGCAGUCACUCUGGCCGACCCUUCGACCCUCAAGAACCUCCAUCAGCGCCAGGGAGCCUGGGCCCGGAACUGCCUCUCUGCCCCAGCAGCACCCUCUUGGUGCCCUUCCCUCCCCUUCCUGUGCCCCAAUUUCCAGAGGGUCUGAACCCACUGACCCCCAAAGAGAAGCCCUGCAGAGCAGAGACCUCACCCUGAGAAGCCUGCACCCCCUGGACAUCUUGACUCCAUCCUUCAGCAUCCUUUGCCUCACUGUAUCCUGACUGCUUGGACCAUCCUUCUCUCCAGCCUCCACUGAACAACAGAUUGGGAAGGGGAAUUUCACAAGGUUUGAGUGGCAGAGAUGUCCUAGGGUAGGCAGAAGGCCUGGCAGCCCCGGGAUGAACUUGCCCCUAGCCCAGCCCUCUGUCCUCUUACCAGCUUGGGGUUUGGUGGGGGCGGGGGGGUGGACAUUGGUAGGGGUGAUUCCAGGAUAUGUGUGCUUGAAGGGAUGUGGCCACGCCUGUGUGGUGGGGGUGGAGGGCUGAGGAGAACAGUGUGGCUCACCCUCUCUUUUGUGAGGAUGGGAGGAGCCUGGAAAGCCCUCUAGCUACUGGCUUUCCUCCUCCUUCCUCCUUACUUAGCAACUGUUGCCUGGUAAAUAUUUGCCCC
rnacentral:lncRNA from 1 species